AUUAUAUCAACACUGCAGACAAUUUCACUAAUUAUUCCCAGGAUCCAUCUCGUACUCUGCAGUGAAAGACAAUGACUGAUUCCAUACAAUAUAAUGUCACUUCUUUACACAGAGUGCUGUAACAGGUAAAAAGAUGUAGACCCCUACCGGUAAUGGACGGUAUAAAAAUAAUUUGGUAAUUUUGAGGGAUAAUUAUACUCGGAAGUUUUUCUUUUGUACGUAAAGAUAUAAAACGUACAAUUAUUUUUCAUUAUUUAAUUUACGUGUAACAUAUAUAAUUUCUUGACCUUUCAAAUAAUAAUAAUUAUCACGAUACGACUUUCUUUAUCUCUUAAAGUGUAAAACAAAAUGAUGAUCACUUAUGACCUCACAGAUGAAGUUUGGCAAUAAAAUAAUGUGGUCAAAUUCGUGACUUUAUGUUAAACUCGUUUUUUGAAUCCUAAAAAUAACUGGUCUAACGAAAUUUAUUGAGCCUGAGACAGGGACCUGUUUUGUUUGAAUAGAAUCCUAAAAAGUAAGAAACGAGAUUAAGUAAACUGAACAAGAGAUCCCGAACCAUUUGAUCGUUGUGGUUGAGUAUGGUCUUAGAUAGAAUUGGUGUUAUUAAGUAAACUGAAUCUGAGAUCUGGAUAUGUUUGACGGUUUUGAGUAUAAAACUAGAAAGAAUAGGUGUUAUUAAGUAAACUGAAUCUGAGAUCUGGAUAUGUUUGAUGGUUUUGAGUAUAAGACUAGAAAGAAGAGGUGUUAUUAAGUAAACUGAAUCUGAGAUCUGGAUAUGUUUGACGGUUUUGAGUAUAAAACUAGAAAGAAUAGGUGUUAUUAAGUAAACUGAAUCUGAGAUCUGGAUAUGUUUGAUGGUUUUGAGUAUAAAACUAGAAA